AGGCCCAGCCCCUCUGCCGCAGGAGCCCCUCUCAGAUAACUUGCGGAGUUAUUCAUUGCUGGUUUCGGUUCUCUUCUGGCAACGACCGUAUCUUCGUACUCAAGGCUCGGUCUUCUCAUCUGUGAAAUGGGCGCUGAUGUGAGUGUUGAGCACAGGGCACCACGCACAUCGCCUUCCACUGGUGUCUCACCCACCAGGCUGCCCUCCCAUGACUGCUCUCCAGGGCUCUCCGUUCCCGGAUGUGCCAGGUCCUGCACUGUCCUCUAGGCCUGGCGCCUGCCGACAGCAGGUCACACAGCCACCCGCAUCGUCGGCGUUGGCCUCCACCAGCUGCCCUGCUCACCAGCCUCCUCAAGGCCAAGUGCUCCCAGGGUGCGCCGUGGGACAUGGGACUCCGCUGCCGGAGGGCAAGGAGCUUUGCCGGGCUUCUGAGCCCUCGCCCAGCCCUGCCUGGUCCUCUGUGAGCCACCAAGACCAAGGCCCAGCUGUUGCCUGUUUGGAUGUGGGAGUGGAGGGUCUCAAGGUCCCAGCUGUCUCACCCGGGACUAGGACAGGGCCACUCCUGGCCCUUCCCAUCUCCAGCCUCGAUUGGACAAGCUCAGACCACAUGCCUGGCCCAGGGCCACUGGAGACACAGGGCACACCCUAGUCCCUGCCCAGGGGGAGCCCCCGGUUGGGGGGAGAUGGACCCGAGGCCAGCGGUCUGUGGGAUGUCAGGGGGGGCCCCAAACACAACCUGGGUGCGGACAGCAGGGGUGUCCCAGCGGAGGGGAGGCGAAUGGAGGGUGUUUAAUUGUGUUUGUCCUCAGUUAGGGACAUCAAACGUGCUUCUGUAAGAGCUUCGGGCAGGAGCCAGGACGUGGGCCUCCCGGGGCUCCUCCGGCCACAGUGCGGCCCUUUGCUGCUUUCUCUUGGCCUCGACCCACGGACUGUCCGUGGGUUUGUUCUACACCCGUGGGGCCUCCAGAGCGGCAGGACCGUUUACCUCAUCUUCCCCAGCACCCCGAGUCGGCUGGGGCUGCGGCAACACCACCGCGGACCAGGCGGCUUAAACAGCUGGGGUGUUUUCUCCCAGUUUGGGAUGAAGAAGCCUUUCUCCCGAGGCCUCUCUCCUUGGCUUGCCCACGGCUGUCUUCCCCGUGUCCUCAUGUGGUUGUCCUCUGUGUGCCUGUGUCCUAAGCUCUUUUAUGGGGACACCAGGCCUGUGGCAUCGGGGACCACCCCAUUGCUCUCAUUUCACUUUACUCACCUCUUUAAAGGCCCAGUACAGUCACAUUCUGAGGCUCAGGGGUUAGGGCUCCAGCCUGUGCACUUUAGGGGACACACCCCGCCCGUCACAUCCCUGGAACCCGGGCGCGAGGGGCACUGGAAGGCGGCUGCAGAGAGAAGACAGGCAGAGGGCGCCCUGGGCGAGGACCCAGCCUGGGCAGAGGUCCAGGGGCCUGAUCACCUUCUCACGUGCUCCCCAGACUUAUCUCCCGGGGCCCCGGCGGGAGCCAGGAAACCCAGGACU